AUUGAACGCUGGCGGCAGGCCUAACACAUGCAAGUCGAACGAGUGGCGGACGGGUGAGUAAUGUCUGGGAAACUGCCUGAUGGAGGGGGAUAACUACUGGAAACGGUAGUUAAUACCGCAUACCAUCGGAUGUGCCCAGAUGGGUUUGGCUAGUAGGUGGGGUAAAGGCGCACCUAGGCGACGAUCCCUUGCUGGUCUGAGAGGAUGACCAGCCACACGGGAAAUGAGACACGGUCCAGACUCCUACGGGAGGCAGCGGUGGGGAAUAUUGCACAAUGGGCGCAAGCCUGAUGCAGCCAUGCCGCGUGUAUGAAGAAGGCCUUCGGGUUGUAAAGUACUUUCAGCGGGGAGGCGUUACCCGCAGAAGAAGCACCGGCUAACUCCGUGCCAGCAGCCGCGGUAAUUC
rnacentral:rRNA from 1 species